AAAAGAGAAGAUAUAAUAGAACAUCUCCAAAUCUGUAAAGAAGAUAGAAGGUGAUGGAAAAUCCACAACCCUUACCCUUGGUAAGGAGUGUUGAUGACUGUUGCCUUUGAAUCUUUUGGGUAAGACUUGGACUGGAGUGCGUUGGUUAAACCUUCGCUGAGGACACCGAAUGUCUGCAUAUCUACGGAUUCUAAAGAAAUCUCUACCUAUGACAAAAUAAUUGCCCCAUUUGCUGCAGGAUCCCUUUUUCCUGAUGAAAAAAAAUCACCAUUACUUCUUUUUAAGGAAGAGGGUGUCUGAUAACAUUAUAAGUGUCAGUGACACUUAGACUGACUUUCCAUUAGUGUUCCACAGGAGAUAACUGGCAGAAAAGAAAUGGAAGACUAGAGCAGAUGAUUGUUCAGGUAAGCUACUGUUAUGUCAUAAUAAAAAGAUCAACUCAGAAUACUACAGGAUCAACUGAGUAAAAGAAGCAAGUUACGAGAUGGAGGUGAUAUCAGAAAUAUUAGUGCAAAAAAUUUUUUAAAAAGCAACAUGAAAGGUAAAUUUUAUGCAGUUCUUUAAAUUUUCUCUCAAAGACUGUUUAAAACUAUUUUAAAAGAUACUUUUCUGCUUUUAUUAUUUUGUUAGUCAUUAUUUUGAUUAUUUGAAUUUUCUUUUGGUCUGGUGAUCAAAAUCCAUUUUCACAACUUCGUCCAAGUCUGUUUGAGGAAUACUAUACACUUAUCAAAUAGGUACAUUCCUGCCUCUCUGCAUACCUCCCAUUUUUCAUACAGAACAUAAACAUAUAUAAAUAAAUAUUCAUGGAUUUUGCAUAUUUUAUAUGCACAUGGAUUAUGAUAAAUAUGCUUUCAGAAUAAAAAUACGUACAAGUAU